UACGAAGGGUGCAAACGUUGCUCGGAAUUAUUGGGCGUAAAGCGCACGUAGGCGGCUUUGCAAGUCGGAUGUGAAAUCCCUCGGCUUAACCAAGGAAGUGCAUCCGAAACUGCAGAGCUUGAGUACUUAAGAGGAUCGCGGAAUUCCCGGUGUAGAGGUGAAAUUCGUAGAUAUCGGGAGGAACACCAGUGGCGAAGGCGGCGAUCUGGGAAGAUACUGACGCUGAGGUGCGA
rnacentral:rRNA from 1 species